AGAAAAUCAAAAGCUUUAACACCUUUAAUAUUGGAACAAAAUUAAAAAGAAAAAGUAAUCAAAAUUUUCAACUUUAUAAUAUUUUAACCUAAAUUUCCCCGAAGAUUAUGCAUCACAAACAAUGAAACGUGUCGCAGCAUUACAGCUGGACACCAUUACAUGCUCUUCGCUCUUCACGCGCACCCAUUUUACAUUCUAUGUUUCACACAAUUAACUUUCAAUGUUUCCCAUUCAAUUUCUUCACCAUUGUUGCUUUCUACAUUUUUUCAAAAAAAUAAAUUAGGAUGAUUUGAUUUCAUAGGCCGUGUAAAUUCAUUCAUACAUCUAAUUAUAAUGUGAAGCCACCACUGGUCUACAUUUACAUAUGUUAGGAGGUUAAUAUUUCUAUGGUUAAUCUUUGAUUAUCUUAGGGUAUACAAUUGUCCUGCUUUUUUCUGUUUGCAGUCCUUAGAAGCAAAUAUUAUAUACUCCAUUAAUGAGAUUGAAAAGGGAGGGCAAGAAGAAUUAAAGUAUUGAAGCACUAGCCUAAAGAAAGAAUCAAUUACAGUGCAUUUGAAAUAGUAGCACCACCCAUCCACUACAUGAUUAAUAUUAAUUACUUAGAUUUACUAGUUAGUUUAAAAGGGAUUAAUACCCCAUACUUUCCCCACUUGAGUUAACCUACAUCUUAACUGCAAUAAUGACAGAAUUUGUCAGUUUACCUUGGAAUGCUCAAGGGUCCAUUCUAACAAAUGUUGCAGAAUGGCCUUGUCUGUCUUUCAACACCCCAAAAGAAAUAAAGAAAUACCAAAAAUUCAGAACUCCAAUGCACAAAUAUUAAUUUUGAAACAUAAAAUAAUAGUAAAAAAAUCAUAAAUAAGACUCAUUUCAUGUUAAUUUAGAACAAAUUAAAUUAAUGGGAAGUGGGCUUCUUGUCUAAUGGUCUGAAUGCUGUUGGUGAAGAAGCCAAUGGGAGUACCUGAGAAGAGCUUGAAGGAUAUUGAGGAAGAUGAUUAAGAAUAUCUCUUUCCUUGUUGUUUUUACUAACAAUGAAGCCCAGGAAAGAACCCUUUGUCUCCUCUGUUAUCAUUGUUGAAUUAGGAGGUUUAAUCCCAGAAUCUUGAACAGAGGCACAGUUUUUAGCUGCCCUUUUCUCAGCUUCUUCCAUUAAUUUUCUGAACAAUUUCUCCUCUGCUUCUCUCAAGAACUUGAAUUUUGGCGGUGGUGAUGAUCUCAGCCUGUUAAUCUCUGCAUCCGUUGAUGAUUCAAAGAGAGGAUUGAAUCCAUGUUGAUUAUAAGAAUCCAAAGGAGGAGACUUUAAACGUGGAGAAGCUAAAGGGGUAAGGAAUGGAGUGUCAACAGCCACUAUAAGAUCACUCAAACUUCUUGUUCUUGACCUCCUAUCGCCCCUAGAUUUCCCAUCUUCAGACUCCAAAUCCUCCUUUGUUUCCUCGUUGAUUGUGAAGAGAAAUCUUGGUGGGCCUGCGAGAUUGUGUAGCCUCAUGAGCUCUGAUUCUACACUUUCUUCACCAAAAGCUUUUAGAAGCAAAUCCUUGCUUGUGCCUAAUUCUAAGUCUGGUUCUUGGCCAUGUGCUUCUGGGUCUCUCACUCUGUCUUGAAUGGUGUUGUUAACUUGCAAAGAGGAGGGUUUCUUCCAGCAGAUUAGGUCAAAGAAUUCCUUUGCAUACUUGCUGCUAUAAUCCUCAUCUUCAACUUCUCCGUUGGUGACUCUCUUCUUCCACCAUAGCAAAUAGUAGAGCUCUGCAACAAGUGCCAAAAGAAGGCAACCAAAGACUAAACUCAAACCUAUUCCUAAACCACUGACAGAUGCCAUCCGUGGCAGAAAUUUCACAUACCCAGAACAACUAAUCUAGGCUUCAAUUGUAUAAAAUAUCCCCAAAAAAAGAGACCCUUUUUAUCAGUGAAUUUCACCGAGAACAAAAACCCAUCAGUCAAGCAUUGAUUCUGCAAGCAAAUACAAAGCCCCCCCCAAAAAAAAAACAACAAGGGAGAAGUCCUACAGCAACUAACCCAAUUAAGGAAACAAAAUCCUCCACUAAGGUAAAUCUUACUUUCUCAAACCACAAGCUCAGGCAUAUAUAAUGAGAAAGCAAGACCAAGAGCCAUAGAUAUGUUGCCUAAAACACAAGUUAAAAGCUAGGAAUCUAGUAAGAUUUCUGGGAAACCAGUGCAGAGGAAAACUUGCCCAAAAAGUGAAAAGAGAAACAAAUAUUAAAGCAAACCCAACCAACAGAAAAACAUUAGAGACCCGAGAGAGAGAGAGAGAGAG
rnacentral:misc_RNA from 1 species